AAAGAGAAGAAAUGAAGAGAUCUUCCAUAAGAAAUGGCAGUGUUCUUUCCUAUGUAAAUGCAUAUUGUGAUUUAUCAAGGCAGUGCAAGAAUACAUCCCAUAUAUUAAAUGAAACUGACAGAAAAAUUGGAAGAAUAAUCUCUCUCAAGAUGCAAAAUACUGAAUAAAUGGAAAAACAGGAACUGCAGGUGUAAUACAGGCUUUGAGAUUGCUGGGAUGGUGCUCUUUGUACCCGCUUUUAAACUGGUAUAAAAAGGUUAUGGGGCCACAGAAGAAAUUAAAGAGAUUUAUUUGCAAACCUGAGAAAUUAGAAGUUACAGUAAAGCAAAGACUGGAAAUACAAGGGCACAUGAGCCAAAGGACACAGUUGAGGAAAAAGACAUGAAUACUAAGCUGUGGAGGGAGGAACA